rnacentral:rRNA from 1 species
CCUAGGGGAGGCAGCAGUGAGGAAUAUUGGUCAAUGGACGUAAGUCUGAACCAGCCAAGUAGCGUGCAGGAUGACGGCCCUAUGGGUUGUAAACUGCUUUUAUACGGGGGUAAAGUGAGUGACGUGUCAUUCAUUGCAAGUACCGCAAGAAUAAGGACCGGCUAAUUCCGUGCCAGCAGCCGCGGUAA